rnacentral:tRNA from 1 species
CAUCAUGAAGCUUAUAAGCGUUAGCCUUUUAAGCUAAAGUUAGGAACUUAAAAUUCCCAUGAUGA